rnacentral:rRNA from 1 species
GAUGAACGCUGGCGGCGUGCCUAAUACAUGCAAGUCGAGCGAACGGACGAGAAGCUUGCUUCUCUGAUGUUAGCGGCGGACGGGUGAGUAACACGUGGAUAACCUACCUAUAAGACUGGGAUAACUUCGGGACACCGGAGCUAAUACCGGAUAAUAUUUUGAACCGCAUGGUUCAAAAGUGAAAUACGGCCUUGCGGUCACUAAUAGAUGGAUCCGCGCUGCAUUAGCUAGUUGGUAAGGUAACGGCUUACGAAGGCAACGAUGCAUAGCCGACCUGAGAGGGUGAUCGGCCACACUGGAGCGUAGACACGGUCCAGACUCCUACGGGAGGCAGCAGUAGGGAAUCUUCCGCAGUGGGCGAAAGCCUGACGGAGCAACGCGGCGUGAGUUAUGGAGGUCUUCGGAUCGUAAAACUCUGUUAUUAGGGAAGAACAUAUGUGUAAGUAACUGUGCACAUCUUGACGGUACCUAAUCAGAAAGCCACGGCUAACUACGUG